CAUAUAUUUAGAUGUUCUGCACAUUACAAAAAUAAACAUGGUUAUUAUCUACCUCAUCUGGGGAACAUGCCACAAAGAGAAGAAGAUCAUCAAUUCCAUUAGUGUGGAGAUUCCUGUAGUACUGAAAAAGAUGCAACAAAAUGCCAGGAAAUUUUCUGCUGGUCAGGAAUGAAGAAAUUUAAAAUAAAAAAAGAAAAUUGCAGUCAGAAGGGGAAAAUAUGGUCAACUUGCAGUGAAACCCUACUCUGCAGCAACUUUUGUGACUGACCACCUGGCCUGCAAGUGACCAUUUUGUACAAAUACAAAAUGUAUUCCUUUGAAAUCACACACUACAGUGAGUCCUGUGGUCAACAGGCUAUGACCCUAAGUCUGAAAGAUCUGGGUUUAACAGGCUAGGACCCAAAGUUGGAAGUCCUGUGGUCAACAGGCUAUAACCUUAAGUCUGAAAGGUCUGGGUUUAACAGGCUAGGACCCAAAGUUUGGAAGUUCUGUGGUCAACAGGCUAUGACCCAAAGUCCAAAAGUUCUGGAUUCAACAAGCUAGGACACACAGCCUAAUUGUUCUUUGGUCUCACUGGCACAGGGAGUCUUCUUCUAGCCUGUCAUCCCAUUCCUAGAAAAAAUAACAAUUCAUAAAGUCACAAACAACAAAAGAAGGCAAAGCAUUUAUAUGCAUCUCAAAGUGGAGAGGUA